UGGGAAUAUUGCACAAUGGGCGCAAGCCUGAUGCAGCAACGCCGCGUGAGGGACGACGGCCUUCGGGUUGUAAACCUCUUCUAGUAGGGAAGAAGCGAAAGUGACGGUACCUGCAGAAAAAGCACCGGCUAACUACGUGCCAGCAGCCGCGGUAAUACGUAGGGUGCGAGCGUUGUCCGGAAUUAUUGGGCGUAAAGAGCUCGUAGGCGGUCUGUCGCGUCUGCUGUGAAAACCCAAGGCUCAACCUCGGGCCUGCAGUGGGUACGGGCAGACUAGAGUGCGGUAGGGGAGAAUGGAAUUCCUGGUGUAGCGGUGGAAUGCGCAGAUAUCAGGAGGAACACCGAUGGCGAAGGCAGUUCUCUGGGCCGUAACUGACGCUGAGGAGCGAAAGCGUGGGGAGCGAACAGGAUUAGAUACCCUGGUAGUCCACG
rnacentral:rRNA from 1 species